GGGUGGGUGUGUGGGGAACUAGUAAGAGGACGUCUCAAUGCCACGAAAACUGCCUCCCUCUGGAAGAGGGGCAGCCGUCUCCCCAUGUCCUGAGCUGAAGCUGAAGAAGCAGAAGCCCCUCCUAGGUGGACUCCAUCUGACUCCCAUAAAUCCAGACCUUCAGGAGGAACCACUGAAGGACUGAUCACCAGAUGUGAGAAGCUGCUGGCCGCUCAGACCCAAGUGUGUGGUUCCUCAGGGCCAAGAUCAAAGGGCCCAAACCUCCCAGAACUGAGAGGUAAAAGGUCACACUGGAGGAUGUAUUUCUCCCUCUUGCCCUUGGAUACUGGUCCUGGGUGGAAAGCUGUUCUUCUAGGUCCCCAGAGCAGCUGACAGGGGAUUCAGCAGUUACAGCUUCCAGAGACAUCUGCAGGGACCCUUGGACUGGAAGUUACAGACAGGAUAAGAUGGCAUAAGGGGUGCUAAUCUCCUACACAUUUCACAAGUUAGAAACCUGGCUGGAAGCUGAGCAAACUGACUCCUUGGAAGGGGCUGAAGGCGGCUACCAGAGGCUGGAGACAACAGCCUUCAAGGCAGGCAGGCUCAAGUGAACACUCUGGGGAGGAGCAGCGAAUGAAUGAAUCACCCCAAUCUCUCCUCCAAAGAAGGCUCCGGUCAGAUAAUGUGAAGUGCAAGGAACUGUGCUCAUGUGUGGCCCUCUACUGGCCAGGAGGACUCUAACCAGGAAAGGGAGCUCCUGCGGACGCUGCAGCUUCUGACUCUUGAAAGGACUGUACCUACAGAGAAGUGCAGCUCAAGAUCCACUGCUGGAUAGAAGGACUGCUGGAUAGAAGGACUGCUGGAUAGAAGGACUGCUGGAUAGAAGGACUGCUGGAUCAGCCUCUCUGGCUCUUUUGGGGGCAAAGACAAAGCUUUAACUUCUCACCUCAACAUUUGCAGGCAAUUUUCCAAAACAACCCAAUGUCCGGAACCAAUUCCUCCCUGCCAUUUACAGUAACUGCACCAUGGUGGCUGCUAAGGGAAGGAUGUGGGGAAGGGGAAGGGCCGGGAAAGGCCUCACUUACAUCAUAUCUCUUGGCCACCCCGGCAAUUCUUUUAACAAAUAUCCCUCCCAUGCCAACAAUGUGCUCAGUGGUAACACAAUGAGGGGCAAAACGCCACAUGAUUCCUGACCAAGUUAUGUUUACAGAAUAUUAGGGGUCUCAGGAUGUCAUUAAGGAGAUGAUCAAAUAAAUAAAUGUGAAAUUAAAAUCACAAAAAGAAGUUUCAAAGGAAAGGUCUAAGAAAGCACAAAACAAGAGCCAUGACCUAUUCUAUAACUAUUUCUAUGAGACACCCAGGUAAAGAUCUGAAGGAUGAGCAGGAGUUAAUUAGGCCAAAAGAGGGCGAGGGGACAUUCCAGGCAGAGAGAACAGCAUGAACAAAGGCCGUGUCAGAAGGAAGAAGGGUGUGUUCUGGACCCAGCGAGGAGCAGUGAGGCUGAAGUAGAGACGGUGAGAGGCUGUGGGGAGAGGACAGACUAUGGGGACUCUGCAGGCCACAUUAAGGACUUUGGUUUUUAUCUAAGAAUGCUGGAAAGUUGUGGAAGUGUAUAAGAACAGAGAGAUGACACAGUGUGAUGUGGUCAGAAUUUUUCUUUACAGAUCACUCACUCUGGCUGCUCUAUGGAGAAUAUAUUAGAGGGGACAGAGUGAACAUGGACAGUGAGAAGGCUAUUGCAGGCAUCCAUAUGAGAAAAUGGUAGCCUGGAGCAGGGUGGUAUAAGGAGAAAUGGAAAGAAGUGGACACGCUCAAAAUAUUAUCUAGAAACAGAACUAACAGGCUUGGAAGAUGAGAAAAGCAGUAUCAAGGACUCCCAGGUUCUGGCUUGAGCAGUAAGUAGAUGGUGCUGCCCUCCAGUGGGACAGGUUACAAUGAAGGGGAGUCAGUUUUGGGGUGAAGAUUGAAAGUCCAGCUGGGUCUGAGAUGUCUGGAAGACAUUCAAAUGGAAAUGUGAAGUUGACAGUAGGCUAGAUAGGUCUAGAGCUCAGUGGAAAGGUUUGGACUGAAUUUUGGGGUCAUCAGUAUGUGAGGACAACAGAAGCCAGGGUGAGAGUGAGAUUACCUAGGGAGAAAAUAGAGAGUGAAUCUGGAGAAACAUCAACAUUUCACAGCUAGCUAGAGAAGGAUAAGCAAACUAGAAUGACCUGAGAAGCAGAGGAAAACCAGGAUAGUGUGGAAUGUUAUGAAAGCCAAGGGAAGAGAAUGUUUCAACAGUGACAGACACCAAUAAUAAAUGCUAACAUCUAUUAAGUCUUAACUAUGACCAGGUAAUGGCAAAGGCUUUGACUUCAUGAUCAAAUUUAAUCUGCACAACAACCUUUUGAGGUGAGAACCAUUUCCCCUUUUACAGCUGAAGUAACUGUGGUAGAAAAAGAGUAAGCACCUGACUCAAGGUCAGGUGGCUGGUAUAGAAGCUGGAAUAAAAACACAAGCAGCCUGACUCCAAACUCUGAUUCACUUUUCUCUACUUCUUCUAGUGCAGUUUGGGAGGUCAUAUAAGAUGAAGACUGAAGAGUGGCCAUUGGACCACUCUUCUCUAAAGUGGAGCUUUAGAGAACGUUUCAGGGGAGAGACAGAAUGGAAGCCAGUCUAGAGCCCACUAUUAGAAAUGCUCCACAUUAUUACUUGUUUUUCAAUUGUCUGAGGGAGUCAGUUAGGAGGCCAGGGCAGUAUGUCAAAUUUGUUUCCUCAACAGCAUUUAAUUUGAUGCCCUUAAGUAGAUGAUGCUCAAAGUUACAUGUGAAUGGUUGGUUAGACUAAGAAGCACAAUGUUGCUAUGUGCUGCUGCUAACCCUUCACAUUACACCAUUCUAAUGUUUUUGAAGUAUCUUCUCCAUCACCUCCUUGACCCUCACAACUAUGCUAUGAGGUGGAUUACUUUCACCACAUUUUAUUGAUAAAAAACUGAGAUUUAUAGUGGCAAAGGAACUUGCCCACAGUUACACAGCUAUCUUGGCUCAGCUAAGACUCAAAUUCAGGUCUUCUAACUCCAAGUCUACUUUUCUUUCCUGGGAGUCCCAGUGCAAAGAGGACCCUUUGGGGAGUUAGGGAGACCUGAGUUCAAAUGUCAGCUCUGUGUGACCCUGGGCAAGAUACAUCACCUUUCUGAGCCUUCCUGUUUUACUACCAAAUGGGGCUGCAGGAUUAUUGUGAGAGCUGAAUCAGAUAGUCUAAGUGAAACUCACUAAACAAAGCUUAACAGACGUCAGUCAUCCAUCCCUGGCCCCACCCCACCCCUCUUCAUCUCUGCCCUGAAUAGCAGCUAUGGGGCUUCUACAGGGUCUUAGUUCUUUCUUCCUAAAGAACAAGGCAGGAUUAAAGCACACUGCAGGUUACAUAAUGCUGAUACAUACCAGGAGUCUUAGUUUAUGUUCACGCUGGAGUCCCUUGUAGGGGCACAGGAAGGCCCAGGUGUCUGUCCUUCCUGUCCUGUCAGGAAGGCCCCAGCCUCCCAUCCAGUAGCUAGACUUAAUGACCUGGCUGGCUGUUUCCUUAGAGAUAAACUAGACAAAUAGCAAACUAGAAUCAAAGGCUUGGAUCAUUAAAUUCGGCAGCAAUAUCAACAGUACAACAGCAGAUGGCAGGGUUGCUCUACACACUCCUGAGCCAGAGAGAGACUCAGGAGAAAUUUAAUGGCAUUUUUACUGACAGUUGAGAGUUCAUGAACCAACCCUUCAAUGCUAUCUGAUACCCAGUGUGUGGUAGGUAGGGUAAGUGUUUUGAUCCUGAAGUUACAGAAGAGGAAACAGAGCCUCUGGGAGGUUAAAUGACAUGCCCAUAUUCAGGAAUGCAAAGAGACUCUUCUAAGUAAAAGGUCAGAAUGCCUGGGUUCAAAUCCCAGCUGUGCUACUUACUGGCUCUGUGACUGUGAGCAAGUAACCUCCAUUGCCCUAUUUGUAAAAUAAGUUAAGACCAGUUCUACAGUUCUUAGGUUGCUGUAAGAAUUAAAUGAAAUAACGCAUGUGAAAUGCUUAGGACAGUGUAUAAUAUAGCACAGAGUAAGCACUCAAUAAAUGGAAACUGUUACCGCAA